GUUCUGGUUACAGCUUUGAGGUAGAUACGAUGAUGCGAAAAACAGUGCUAUUGGGGAUGUGCCAAAAGAACAAAUAUACACAACUCAAAGUAAAACAGAGAGAAAUGGCAAAGGAUGUUUUUGUGAAGGAUGUCAAAGGGCUCAAGCAUCAACGUUGAAAGCUGUAGAGAACCAGAUGAAAGCUGUAGAGAACGAGAUAGACCAGCUGCAGAAAGACAAGAUGACGAAAAUGUGAAGGAUCUUUACAGCUCCAGUUGAAGGACUGCUUCAAGAGAAAAACCAUUCGAAUGAAUGUGAUGAAGGAUGGAGCAGCUAUUGGAUAUGAUCACAACUCCAGUGAUGACAUAGCGAGCAACGGGUUCAUGGUGUCCAUGGAGGUCAGAUAUCAGGUCUGGAUGACCCUCAUCAGUCACACUCACAUUCUUGGUGAGGAACUAUUGACCACAUUCAAUGGCUUUCUGCUCUUCCCCAUGUGAGUAGAGAGCCGGUGUGAGAAGGCUAUCCAUUGCACCUUGCAUAUGUGUCUUUACAGCCAAUGUAAGAAAAGUAAUCUUUGCAUUAUACAUGAAUAGCUAACGAAUAAUGUCCGUGCUAUAUUGAAUUUACAUUACAUGUGCAAUAUGUAAUGACACAUCUUUAUUUUUGUUCUGAUUGAAGAUAAUGUAAAGAAAGCAUUUAUUUGAUCAAACAAAUAAAAUAUAUUCACAGCAAGAA